rnacentral:tRNA from 1 species
GCGGGGGUACCAAAGUGGUCAAAUGGACUAGCCUCAAGAGCUAGUGGCUUAGUGCCUUCGAGGGUUCGAGCCCCUUCCCCCGCA